rnacentral:rRNA from 1 species
UGAUUCGUCACACUAUCAUUAACUGAAUCCAUAGGUUAAUGAGGCGAACCGGGGGAACUGAAACAUCUAAGUACCCCGAGGAAAAGAAAUCAACCGAGAUUCCCCCAGUAGCGGCGAGCGAACGGGGAGGAGCCCAGAGCCUGAAUCAGCAUGUGUGUUAGUGGAAGCGUCUGGAAAGGCGCGCGAUACAGGGUGACAGCCCCGUACACAAAAGCGCAUGUGCUGUGAGCUCGAUGAGUAGGGCGGGACACGUGGUAUCCUGUCUGAAUAUGGGGGGGACCAUCCUCCAAGGCUAAAUACUCCUGACUGACCGAUAGUGAACCAGUACCGUGAGGGAAAGGCGAAAAGAACCCCGGCGAGGGGAGUGAAAAAGAACCUGAAACCGUGUACGUACAAGCAGUGGGAGCACCCUUUUUGGGUGUGACUGCGUACCUUUUGUAUAAUGGGUCAGCGACUUAUAUUCUGUAGCAAGGUUAACCGAAUAGGGGAGCCGUAGGGAAACCGAGUCUUAACCGGGCGUUAAGUUGCAGGGUAUAGACCCGAAACCCGGUGAUCUAGCCAUGGGCAGGUUGAAGGUUGGGUAACACUAACUGGAGGACCGAACCGACUAAUGUUGAAAAAUUAGCGGAUGACCUGUGGCUGGGGGUGAAAGGCCAAUCAAACCGGGAGAUAGCUGGUUCUCCCCGAAAGCUAUUUAGGUAGCGCCUCGUGAAUUCAUCUCCGGGGGUAGAGCACUGUUUCGGCUAGGGGGCCAUCCCGGCUUACCAACCCGAUGCAAACUGCGAAUACCGGAGAAUGUUAUCACGGGAGACACACGGCGGGUGCUAACGUCCGUCGUGAAGAGGGAAACAACCCAGACCGCCAGCUAAGGUCCCAAAGUCAUGGUUAAGUGGGAAACGAUGUGGGAAGGCCCAGACAGCCAGGAUGUUGGCUUAGAAGCAGCCAUCAUUUAAAGAAAGCGUAAUAGCUCACUGGUCGAGUCGGCCUGCGCGGAAGAUGUAACGGGGCUAAACCAUGCACCGAAGCUGCGGCAGCGAACGUAUCACUUAAAGCGAUUCAGCGGGUUACGAUUGACGGAGCGAAGCGACGUCAAAGCGUAUACAAAGUCGAGUCGGUUUAAGGAUACGUUCGUUGGGUAGGGGAGCGUUCUGUAAGCCUGCGAAGGUGGCCUGUGAGGGUUGCUGGAGGUAUCAGAAGUGCGAAUGCUGACAUAAGUAACGAUAAAGCGGGUGAAAAGCCCGCUCGCCGGAAGACCAAGGGUUCCUGUCCAACGUUAAUCGGGGCAGGGUGAGUCGACCCCUAAGGCGAGGCCGAAAGGCGUAGUCGAUGGGAAACGGGUUAAUAUUCCCGUACUUGGUGUUACUGCGAAGGGGGGACGGAGAAGGCUAUGUUGGCCGGGCGACGGUUGUCCCGGUUUAAGCGUGUAGGUGUGUGUUCCAGGUAAAUCCGGUUCACUUUAACACUGAGGCGUGAUGACGAGGCACUACGGUGCUGAAGCAACAAAUGCCCUGCUUCCAGGAAAAGCCUCUAAGCAUCAGGUAACAUCAAAUCGUACCCCAAACCGACACAGGUGGUCAGGUAGAGAAUACCAAGGCGCUUGAGAGAACUCGGGUGAAGGAACUAGGCAAAAUGGUGCCGUAACUUCGGGAGAAGGCACGCUGACACGUAGGUGAAGUGAUUUACUCAUGGAGCUGAAGUCAGUCGAAGAUACCAGCUGGCUGCAACUGUUUAUUAAAACACAGCACUGUGCAAACACGAAAGUGGACGUAUACGGUGUGACGCCUGCCCGGUGCCGGAAGGUUAAUUGAUGGGGUCAGCGCAAGCGAAGCUCCUGAUCGAAGCCCCGGUAAACGGCGGCCGUAACUAUAACGGUCCUAAGGUAGCGAAAUUCCUUGUCGGGUAAGUUCCGACCUGCACGAAUGGCGUAAUGAUGGCCAGGCUGUCUCCACCCGAGACUCAGUGAAAUUGAACUCGCUGUGAAGAUGCAGUGUACCCGCGGCAAGACGGAAAGACCCCGUGAACCUUUACUAUAGCUUGACACUGAACAUUGAGCCUUGAUGUGUAGGAUAGGUGGGAGGCUUUGAAGUGUGGACGCCAGUCUGCAUGGAGCCGACCUUGAAAUACCACCCUUUAAUGUUUGAUGUUCUAACGUGGACCCGUAAUCCGGG